rnacentral:rRNA from 1 species
GACGAAGGGGGCUAGCGUUGUUCGGAAUUACUGGGCGUAAAGCGAGUGUAGGUGGUUGUCCAAGUUGGAUGUGAAAGCCUUGAGCUCAACUCAAGAAAUGCAUUCAGGACUGGGCGGCUAGAGGGCCGGAGAGGGUAGUGGAAUUCCCAGUGUAGUGGUGAAAUACGUAGAGAUUGGGAAGAACACCAGUGGCGAAGGCGGCUAUCUGGACGGUUUCUGACACUAAGACUCGAAAGCGUGGGGAGCAAACAGG